UACAGAGGUGGCAAGCGUUGUUCGGAAUUACUGGGCGUAAAGGGCGCGUAGGCGGUCAGGUCAGUCCCGUGUGAAAUCCCUCGGCUCAACUGAGGAACUGCACGGGAAACUGCCUGGCUUGAGUUCGGGAGAGGGAAGCGGAAUUCCGGGUGUAGCGGUGAAAUGCGUAGAUAUCCGGAGGAACACCGGUGGCGAAGGCGGCUUCCUGGACCGACACUGACGCUGAGGCGCGAAAGCUAGGGGAGCAAACGGA
rnacentral:rRNA from 1 species